rnacentral:misc_RNA from 1 species
CAGAGUUACAACUCCCAAACCCUUGUGAACGAACCUACCAUGUUGCCUCGGCGGCUCAGCCCGCUCCGGUAAACGGGACGCCGCCAGGAGGACAUACAAACUCUGUUGCAUUAUAUGUAAUCUCUGAGUAAACCUUAUUCAAUAAUUA